GUCUUUUUGAAAAUAAUAUAAAGUCUAAUCUGCCCACUGAUUUAAUAUUAAAGGGCUGCAGUAUUUUGACUGUACAAAGGUAGCAUAAUCAUUUGUCUCUUAAUUGGUGACUUGUAUGAAAGAUUGGAUGAAAUAUAAACUGUCUCUAUAUAAUUAUUAAAAUUUAAUUUUUUAGUUAAAAAGCUAAAAUAAAUUUAAAAGACGAGAAGACCCUAUAGAGUUUUAUAAUUUUAUUAAUAUUAAAAAAAUAUAAAUAUUAAGUUUAAUAUUAAUAAAAUUAUUUUAUUGGGGUGAUAGAAAAAUUAAAAUAACUUUUUUUAAAAAUAAACAUUAAUAUAUGAUUAAAUGAUCCAUUAAUAAUGAUUAAAAGAAAAAAUUACCUUAGGGAUAACAGCGUAAUUUUUUUUUUUAGGUCAAAUAAGAAAAAAAGUUUGCGACCUCGAUGUUGGAUUAAGAUAAAAUUUAAAUGCAAAAGUUUAAAAUUUUUGAUCUGUUCGAUCAUUAAAA
rnacentral:rRNA from 1 species